UACGAAGGGGGCUAGCGUUGCUCGGAAUUACUGGGCGUAAAGCGCACGUAGGCGGAUCUUUAAGUCAGGGGUGAAAUCCUGGAGCUCAACUCCAGAACUGCCUUUGAUACUGAGGACCUUGAGUCCGGGAGAGGUGAGUGGAACUGCGAGUGUAGAGGUGAAAUUCGUAGAUAUUGGGAAGAACACCGGUGGCGAAGGCGGCUAUCUGGACCGACAUUGACGCUGAGGCGCGAAAGCGUGGGGAGCAAACAGG
rnacentral:rRNA from 1 species